rnacentral:rRNA from 1 species
GAUGAACGCUGGCGGUAUGCUUAACACAUGCAAGUCGAACGGACUCUUCGGAGUUAGUGGCGGACGGGUGAGUAACGCGUGAGAAUCUGGCUUUGGGUUCGGGACAACCACUGGAAACGGUGGCUAAUACCGGAUGUGCCGAGAGGUAAAAGAGAAAUUGCCUGAAGAUGAGCUCGCGUCUGAUUAGCUAGUUGGUGAGGUAAAGGCUCACCAAGGCAGCGAUCAGUAGCUGGUCUGAGAGGAUGACCAGCCACACUGGGACUGAGACACGGCCCAGACUCCUACGGGAGGCAGCAGUGGGGAAUUUUCCGCAAUGGGCGAAAGCCUGACGGAGCAAUACCGCGUGAGGGAAGAAGGCUCUUGGGUUGUAAACCUCUUUUCUUAGGGAAGAACAAAAUGACGGUACCUAAGAAAUCAGCAUCGGCUAACUCCGUG